CUGGAUCUGGGAGAGGUGUUUCCAGCGCUGCACCCAGCAACAACUGUGCUCCAGGGAACACUGCUAAUUAGCCUGGAGGUUGCAUUCCCCAUUUGGCUGGAUGAGAACACCACUGCCGCUGAGCAGGGCCGAUGGACUCGGGCUGGCUGGAGAGGAGGGGAGUCAAAUCUCAAUGGUGAUACCUAAGUCACCAUGGGCUCCAAACCGGGCAGGGGUUUGCAGAGCUGCAACCGGCACACGUGUCUGGAGGAGGUUUUCUCUCAUCUCAGGCAAGAACCAGACCAGAAGGGACUUCGAGAGGAAAACAAUCUGUCAUUUUGUAACAAAGGACAACCGUGGCACCUAUGCACGAGGAAUCCGGGAGGGGAAAAGUCAGUCUGGCAUUUCUCGACUCAAAGCGCAGGGCUGCGACACCUUCUGUGGGGCUGUGCUUUUAUUUACCGCAGUGCUCCCCAAACGUGUGAGUUCAACGUUUGCCAGGUCCUGAUCAGGGGCUCAAGUGGAGGGUUGGCUGCCCGUGCUUCAGGGGACAGCGUAUGCAGUUCAGGGAGGUUUUACAGCUACCAUGGGAGCCUUGUCACUGUCACUGUCUGAAACAGCCCUCACUGAUCACGAUCUCGCUGCUCAAGAUGCUGUGCAAACCAACCAAACAAAAAAACCCAAUCCAUACCUAAAGAUCUCUCCGAGUGUAAGAGCAGAGACAGUGGAAAUGUGGGAAACAAUAAGGAAACCCUGAGCCGGUUUUGGUCAGCAGGAAGUACAGCAGCAUUGGCGCAGUGGCAGCCUGGC
rnacentral:lncRNA from 1 species